CGAUGCAAGACCGUGUUUUGCAGACCUCAGCUUUUUGCUUGGCAGUCGGCAAAACGGCGCGCAAAAAUAACUUAGGCCGACAAUUUCUGCAAUUAAAUGUUGUCUUUAUGUGCGAGUGUUCUUAAGCUUAAAUUGCUUUAUUAUUUUGUAUUAUUUUUUUUUUGUGGAGAACCGAUGAAAGCUGGCAAUGCUCCGCUCUACAAACAUACACAUGUAUGUAUGUAAUUAAAUGUGCACGUGCAGCGCCCCUAGACCGGCUCGCCGUAUUGCGCCCAAAUGUAUAGAUUUCCUAUAUGUUUUUGGAGCCAUGGAGUUUUGAAUAGCUGGGUUCCCCCUUUGUGGCGCCCACUUUACGCUGCAGACCAUCAAAUUUUCGACAAGUCCAAGGAGCUCUUCAAAUAUGGCAACACCGACUGUAUGUUUGUUGUCACGUGGCGAAACUUCGAUUUCAAAAGGAGUUACAACAAUGGUGGAAGCUGCGAAAAUUCGGAGAGUCCCUCACGCAUGCGCACUUCAUAUGAAAGAACCAUUGCCAAGUCGAAAACGUCGAAAGAGAUAUACAUAAGUCCAUAAGUAUCCUCGAAUGAUGAUGAUAAUGGAGGAUAAGACUCAUCGCAUAUCCCAAGCUCUACCUUGCUUGGAAUUUUUGGAGCUUCAUCCUCUUUUUGAAGCUACAUAUCUAGAAGGACCUUCUUGAGGCAUAAACUCGAAACACAAUAAAACAAACAACCAAAAUGUUUUAUAUAAAUAUUAUUAUCAACAAAAAUAA